UAUGAAGUAGGGUGCCAGGUUUCAGUCUUGCAAAAAUAAUUACAUUUCCCUCGGGUUAGCUGAUGACGGACCAGAAGAUAUAGGGUACCAUUCAGUUCAUCUGAAUUGACCAAAGAGACAGUUCAGUUCAUCUGCAUGUACAGAGCACCAUGGCAAAAUACUUGGAAUAAGACCUCUGACUUGGAGAGUGCAGGGCCAGUGACAGGACCCCCACAGGAAGUGCUGGGCAGGGAUAGAUGCGUUAGUCUGAGGAGGUGAACGUGUGUCCAAAGAGGACGGUGACCGCAGGAAAGAAGCAAGGCUGACAUGCACCACUUAGGGUGCAAGGUGAGGCCACCGGGUGGCAAGGCAAGGCAAAGAGAAGACCAAGGAAGGCAAAGGUAAAAAUGCUGGGGUCAGGUAGACAGGCAGAGAGCCCAAGUUCAUCAGUGGGCGGCUGGAGUGCAGGGAGACUAACCUGAAGCUCAAUCAAGUCAACUUGAACAGAAGAUGCUGGUACCAUUCAGAGGCAUGCGUGGAAGAAGAAAAGAGAUGCCUGGAGGUGCGUGUCCUAAUCCCUAGAACCUGUAAAUGUUGUCUUAUAGACCAAGAGGGUCUCUGCAGAUGCGAUGAUGUUAAGGAUCUUGAGAAGGGGAGAUCCUGGCUUAUCUGGAAUUGUGGAGUGUAUCAUGUCACCAAAUCGGCAAGCAAAAUUCAUCUUCUUUAGAAGGAAUUUCGGUGUUUGGCCCAGCCACGACAAAGGAAACGUAUUGAGACUUUGUGUAUGGGUGAGAGGAUGGGAAAUAUGAACUCGACAUCCUAAGCUCUGCCUGUGGAUUCCCGUGGAAGCCAUUGAGUGACAUCUGGCAAAAAUCCCAUGAGGCAUCCCCCGACCUCUGUGGCUUUGCCAAUGAGCGCCGUCUAGGUCUGCAGUUGCCUUGGAACUUCCCUGUAACUCUCGUGGGGACACAAAGCAAAGCAUGCUCACCUGGAAAGGGGACCAGGAGCCCCAAGUCAGGACCCCAGAUCCCUGUCCUUCCACCUCUCUGCACACACCCACCCAGGCCUUCCAGGAAGAGUGAGCAGAGUUAGGAAAUAUUGAUCUCACAGAUAUUUGAGAGCAUUAGAAGCCAUUGCCCUAAUUGCUCUCGGUUGAGGGAUUAGAACAGCCCCCACUGCAGACUACCCUACAACCGAACAUUUAAAUGUCCGGUUUUGUAAAACUAGCCCGGAACAGCUUUGCUCAAAUUACUGGGCCUGUAUUACAUGAGUGUGAGGUUGCCAAGGAAAAUGAGUCAGAGUAAUCCCUUUGCUAAGAGAUG